rnacentral:rRNA from 1 species
UACAAAACAAUAAAAAAUCUAAUUUAUUAAUAAAUAACUAAAACUAUAAACUUUAAACUUUUUUUAUUAAAACCGAAAGGGAAAAUUUUUCAAUAUUAAAUAAGAAAAAUAAAUGUACCUUUAGCAUAAGGGGAUACUAAAAAAAAAUAAAAUUUUAUAUUUCCCGAAAUGUUUUGAGCUAAAUAUUUAAUUUAAUUAAUGUUUCAAUAUUAAAUAAAAUUAAAUUUUAGAAGUGAAAUUCCUAUCAAAAAGCAUGAUAUCUGGUUAUAUAAAAUAAUUUCACGUAUUUCUAUAAAUAUAUAAAAUUUAUUUUAAAAACUUAUAGAAAAUUAAUUUUGGGAUAAUCUGAAAUUAACAAAUUUAAAGACUUAAAAAGGUAAAUUUAAAGAAUAAAAUUUUCUUUGUUAUUUUUAUAAAUAAAUUUAUAUUUUUUAUAAAACUAAUUUAAAUUAUUUAUUAAAUUAAAUUUUAAUAUUUAAAUAAAAAUGGUACUAUUAGUAAAAGUGAUUAUUACUUUUCAAACUUAACUUUUAAAAUAAAUUAGAAUUUUAUUAAUUUAAAAGAAUUAGGCAAAUAUAUUUUCUGACUGUUUAAUAAAAACAACGCAUUUAGUAUAUUAAUAAAUGCAAAUCCUGCUCAAUGAAAAUUUUAAAUUGCUGUAGUAUUUUGACUAUACAAAGGUAUUGAAAUAAGAUUUUAAUUGAAUGCUAAGAGAAUGGAAUUACAGAAAAUAGCUUUUUUUAGAUUAAAAAUUGAAAUUUUUUUAAUUUGUGCAGAAACAAUUAUUAAUAUUAAGGACAAGAAGACCCUAUGAAUUUAUAAAUUUAUGUUAUAGUAAUUAAUAUAAAAUAAAUUUUGGUUGGGGCGACAAAAAAAAAUAAAAAACUUUUUUUUUAUAAAAUGAUCCAUUAUUAAUGAUUAUAUGAAAAAUACUCUAGGGAUAACAGCGUUAUAUUUUUUGAUAGCUCAUAUUGACAAAAAAGUUUGCGACCUCGAUGUUGGAUUAGGAUACUUUUUUAAUGAAGAUAUUAAAAAAAGAAGUUUGUUCAACUUUUAAUUUCCUACAUGAUCUGAGUUUAGACCGAUGAGAAUCAGGUUGGAUUCUAUCUUAAUAAUAAAACAAUUUUAAUUAGUACGAAAGGAAUUUUAAAAUUUAAUUAUUAAGAUAAACAACUUUAUUUGCAUCAAUUUUUGUAAUU